rnacentral:rRNA from 1 species
GAUGAACGCUGGCGGCGUGCCUAAUACAUGCAAGUCGAGCGAACGGACGCGAAGCUUGCUUUUCUGAUGUUAGCCGAGCACGUGUGUGACACACGUGGAUAAUCUACCUAUAUGACUGGGAUAACUUCGGGAAACCGGCGAUUACACCAGAUAAUAUUUUGAACCGCAUGGUUCAAAAGUGAAAGUCGGUCUUGCUGUCUGUUAUAGAUGGAUCCGCGCUGCAUUAGCUAGUUGGUAAGGUAACGGCUUACCAAGGCUACGAUGCAUAGCCGACCUGAGAGGGUGGUCGGCCACACUGGAGCUUGGACGCGGACCAGACUCCUACGGGAGGCAGCAGUAGGGAAUCUGCCGCAAUGGGCGAGAGCCUGACGGAGCGACGCCGCGUGAGUUAUGGAGAUCUUCGGAUCGUAAAGCUGUGUUAUGAGGGAUGAACAUCUGUGUAAGUAGCUGUACAGAUCGUGACGGUACCUGAUCAGAAAGCCACGGCUAACUACGUG